GCAUGCCUGCGCUUUGCUGUCCUCUGCUGUUCGGUCGUUGAUGAUGCUGAAGAGAGAGAGCGCGGCGCUCGUACAUUUUUAUGAGACACCACAGUCCACCGCAAUUCAGAGUCGUAGGCUACAGAACAGGAAACGCACUGGAAAUGUAACGAUGGAUAGAUAAUCUCGAUCGUUUGGCAUUGCUCGGACAGCAAUAACGAACGACAGCGGACAUACAGCGUGUGCAAUUUGUCAAAGAAUGAUAGAGGAGGGCAGUAAACGAGGCAAAGCGAUGGUGGAGAAGAGACAACUCUUCAUGGAGAUGAGGGCACAAAACUUUGACGUCAUCAGGCUGUCAACCUAUAGGACGGCCUGCAAGCUAAGAUUUGUGCAGAAGAGAUGCAACCUUCACUUGGUGGAUGUGUGGAACAUGAUUGAGGCGUUCCGUGAUAGUGGUCUAAACACGCUGGACCACAACGCAGAGAUCAACGUGUCUAGACUGGAGACUAUCCUGUCCUCGAUCUACUACCAGCUCAAUAAGCGUCUGCCCACCACACACCAGAUCAACGUAGAGCAGUCCAUCGGCCUGCUGCUCAACUUCAUGGUGGCCACAUACGACAGUGAAGGCCACGGGAAACUGACCGUUUUCUCGAUGAAGUCCAUGUUGGCAACCAUGUGUGGAGGGAAAAUAGUGGACAAACUACGUUAUAUCUUCUCCCAGAUCUCUGACUCGAAUGGUGUGAUGGCCUUUGCUAAGUUUGACCAGUUUCUGAGGGAGGUUCUAAAGCUGCCCACAGCUGUGUUCGAGGGCCCGUCGUUUGGAUACACAGAACACUCCGUACGGACAUGCUUCCCUCAACAGAAGAAGAUCUUGCUGAACACGUUUUUGGACAUUUUGAUGGCAGAUCCUCCCCCCCAGUGCCUCGUGUGGCUACCUCUCAUGCACCGGCUCGCUAAUGUUGAAAAUGUCUUCCAUCCCGUGGAAUGUUCCUAUUGCCGGAGUGAAAGUAUGAUGGGGUUCCGUUACCGGUGCCAACAGUGCCAUGGCUACCAACUCUGUCAGAGCUGCUUCUGGCGUGGCCAUGCCAACGGUCCCCAUAGCAACCAGCAUCAAAUGAAGGAGCACUCCUCUUGGAAGUCUCCGGCUAAAAAGCUGAGCCACGCCAUCAGUAAGUCUCUAGGCUGUGUCCCCAUUGGAGAGCCACCUCACCCAAUGUUCCCUGAGCAGUCAGAGAAACCGCAGGACACCAUGGCCCACACUGUUCAGCAGAAGCCAGUGGCCAACAAUAUGAACAACACAAUGCUCAUGUCGUCUGGGGCACCUACUCCUACUAAAAGUGUCUUGGAGAGUCCCAGCAGGCUAGACGAGGAGCAUCGUCUGAUUGCUCGCUAUGCAGCGCGCCUGGCAGCUGAGGCAGGCAACUCCACAGUGAGUAGCUCCACAGUGAGUAGCUCCACACAAUGUCCUCCAACAGAUCUGAGUUUCAACUUUGAUGCCAACAAACAACAGAGGCAGCUAAUAGCAGAACUAGAGAACAAGAACAGGUCCCUCAGAGAGAUCCUUCAGGAGAUCCAGCGACUGCGUCUGGAGCAUGAGCAGGCCUCCCAGCCCACCCCCGAGAAGGCCCAGCAAAACCCCACACUGCUGGCCGAACUCAGGCUCCUUAGGCACAGGAAGGAUGAGCUGGAGAGGCGCAUGUCAGCCCUACAGGAGAGCAGACGGGAACUGAUGGUCCAGCUCGAGGGACUGAUGAGGCUACUCAAGGAUGAGGAGCAGAAGCAGGCAGCCCAGACAGGAGGCUCACCCCACUCUUCCCCCAGCCAUGGGGCAGGCUGCUCCAUGCCCAUGCCAAUCCGCUCCACCUCAGCUGGGUCCACCCCCACCCACACACCCCAGGACUGCCUUGCCGGGGUGGGGGGGGACGUGCUGGAGGCCUUCGCUCACGGUGUACCUAGAAAUCUUCGUAAUGAUCUGUUGGUCGCUGCAGAUUCAAUCACAAACACCAUGUCAUCACUCGUCAAGGAACUCCACUCAGUAGAUGAUGCUGCAGAGGAAGAGGACAACAACAUGAGGAACGGAGGCCUAAGGGACAGGGCCGAGGCAGAAUGAAAGGAGUGGGAAAAGCACAGUGAGAGAAGUAAAGCAUCGAGGGAGCAACAACCACUCCAUCUAUACCGGAUGUCAGACUGGACAUGACUGGAAAAGAAGAAUCCAAAUGAGAAUCAGUCACAACAACCAAACCCUUCUAUCAGGCAUAAGCACGUAGAGUAAUGCAUGCUGUUAUCAAACAGGAUUUCACUAUGUGAACUACUAUCAAACAUGUUUAUUACACCUUGCUGCGGAAAAAAAGCAAGAUGCUUCUAUUAGCGAGUGUAUAUGUUGUUCUGUAUAAAAACUUAAAGCUGUAAUUAUUAUGUAUUGAUUGAUUCCCCUCAUCGUGACUGCAACGGUCAAAGGUCUAAGGAGUGGCUUGCUGUGCUUUCUCUCGACCUGUAUUGUCAAUAACAGACCAUUCUGUGUGCAUACCAAAUGGCACCCUAUUCCCUAUAUCGUGCAGUACUUUUGACCAGUGCCCUAAAGGCCCUGUUCAAAAGUAGUGUACUACAUAAGGAAUAGAGUGCCAUUUGGAACGCUGUCUAUCUAUCUGUAUAUACUGUACACAUUAUACAUGACCUUGGGAACACAGCACUGACCAUGACCUGAAAGCAACCUAUUUUCAUGAUGUUGCUAUGAUCCCUAGCCUUCAUUGCUUUUGUAUCAUUAGAGACGGCUAGCUAGUAUGUUUUCAUUAGGGGUUUUGCAUGAAGUUGCACUGUCCUGAGUCUGACUGGGUGUACUGUAGGUAGGUAGGUAGGUAGGUAGGUAGGUAGGUAGGUAGGUAGGUACCAUGUUAUGCCAGCUCUUUGUGGGUUUAUCAGUGUUUCUCAACCUGUGGUCCGCAGGCCAGCACUGGUCCCAAUGAUGUUGCUGAUCGGUCCCUCAGAUAGUGAGCUGAAACUGAUUUAGUCAGUUCUCAAGUGCCAGUUUUAAUCUAAGUGGUCUUCAUUGGAGGAAGGGCCGUAGCUGGUCCUUGCAGUUCCCUGGUACAAAAAAGUUAGAGAAACGCUUGGUUCUAAUGACUGCUAGGAUCUGUAGUCCUGUAUAUUGUCAUUCCUCUGAAUUCACAUCGGCCGUUCCCCAAAUGGCACCCUAUUCCCUAUAUAGUACACUACAUUUGACCAAGGCCUAUAGGGCUCUGGUCAAAAGUAGUACACUAUAUAGGGAAUAGGGUGUCAUUUAGGACAGCCUGAGUCACAUACUGCUGCUACUGCGUGCUCACUCUAUGUCGUGAGACACCCUUGCAAAAAUAUGAGGGCUGUUUGUUUGUUUGGUUAAAGGGAGCCUAGUAUGGGGGCUGUUGUUGUCAAUGCUAAAUGUUUAAUUUCAUCAGGGAAUCGUCCCUUUGUUAGAAACAGAUUUAUUAUUCUCCUCGUUUUGUCUCUAUAAAAAAUUAACUAAGCGAGAGAAGCUAGUAAAUGCAUCUUAAAGAGCAUUAAAACUGCAUGGUUCUUCGUCCCUAAUCCACUAACUAGUCACUCAGUAGUAACAGUAUUUAUUGUCCACGUAAAGAGACGGAGAGCACCUCAGGACGUUAGUUUAAAUGAAUAUUAUUACAUUGUGUGCUCUUUCGUUCAAAUAUGUUGAGUUACAACAUAUCCACCUAUACACCUGUACAUAGGUGAGGACAGGCGGUACAGAAAUCAGAGUUAUGCACAGAUAAGAGUUGCUUUGAUAGCUUUAUUUAGUUAAAAGAAAUGAGGACUGGAACAUGUUUAUGUGAGAGUUAAUAGAUAGGUGCUCAGGGACUGUAGAGGUAGAUGGAAUGUGGUGGUGGCUGCCUGUGUCCCAAAUGGCACCCCAUUCCCUACAUAGUGCACUACUUUUGACCAGGGCUAAUAGGCCCUGGUCAAAAGUAGUGCACUAUAUAGGGAAUAGGAUGCCAUUUGGGAUGCAUAAUCUGUGCUGUUAACGAUUAUGAGUCAGUAGCCUAGGCCCUAAUGGGUUCCAGACCUGUGUCUGUAGGGGUCAGAGGUCAGUGACUGAUCAUAAAAGAGCCUGAAGGGAGCAGACAGCAAACCUGUGUCUCAAUAAUCUGACUUUCUCCAAAAAGGUGCACUCAAGCACUCUUCCCCACACAUUCAAAAGCAUUGAAUUGGUGUGAGCAUAGACUAAAGUAGAAUUUCCACCAUAUGUAUUCUAUAGGUUCAUUCCUUUUAAAUAAACUGAGUGUACAAAACAUUAGGGACACCUUCCUAACAUUGAGUCGCCCCCCCCCACCCCACCUUUCGCCCUCAGAACAGCCUCAAUUUGUCAGGGCAUGGACACUACAAGGUGUCGAAAGCAUUCCACAGGGAUGCAGGCCCAUGUUGUGUCAAUUUGGCUGGAAGUCCUUGGUGGUGGACCAUUCUUGAUACAAAUGGGAAACUGUUGAGCGUGAAAACCCCCAGCAGCGAUGCGGUUCUUGACACACUCAAACCAGUGUGCCUAGCGUGUAACAGAUGUUAAUCAUACUCUCCUUGCGUUGUGUUUUGUCCAAAUAAAUCACCCCAGCCAGUGGUCCCAGUUGAGCAUUAUUUAUUAUCUGUUGUUAAAUAGGAAACAGGACGUUAGUUGUGCAGGGCUUAAUGAUGUUGAUUGCUGUCGAUGGUAAAAUCCCUUGCAUUACAUUUUCAUACUGGGCAUUAACAAAAUACAAUACAAAAUAUAACGUGUAAAUACCUGUGGUUAAAUAGGAAAUGGCAUGCUAGUUGUGUAGGACUUAAUGAUGUUGAUGGCUGUCGAUGGUUAAAUCUGUAGCAUGAAAACAACUGUGUUAGCAGUGAGUUUAUGUGACCAUUACAUCGGUGCGUGCUAGCUAAUACAGCAAUCAUAUACCAAAGCACAUCCCGGAAAGCCCCCCAUCCCUAACAGGUACCAUAUUCCCACUCAUGUAACAAUCAGAAAUGUACAGCAAACUUGUACACAUUGUAAAAUAUAAAUAGAAUACAGUAUUCAGAACGUGACCUACCCCUUACAUCACAUUUUCAUACUGGGGAGACCUGACGUUCGCGAUCUCCCCCUCAUCUGCAAGCGGGGCCAAUAACAACAUUGUCAUCAGAACUGAACCAACCAAUAAGAAUGCUUGAACAUUAAAUACACAUUUCUUUAGAGGCAAGUGGAACCAUAACCAACUCUGUUACACCUGGCACCUACUACCAUACCCCAUUCAAAGGCACUUAAAUAUUUUGUCUUGCCCAUUCACCAUCUGAAUGGCACAUAUACACAAUCCAUGUAUCAGUUGUCUCAUAGGCUUAAAAAACAUUAUUUUAACUUGUCCACUCCCCUUCAUCUACACCGGUUGAAGUGGAUUUAACAGGUGACAUUAAUAAGGGAUCGUAGCUUUCACCUGGAUUCACCUGGUCAGUCUUAUGUCAUGGAAAGAGAAGGUGUUCCUAAGGUUUUGUGCACUCGGUGUAUAUGAAGGGCGGUGAACAU